rnacentral:rRNA from 1 species
UACGUAGGGGGCAAGCGUUGUCCGGAAUCAUUGGGCGUAAAGCGCGCGUAGGCGGCCCGGUAAGUCCGCUGUAAAAGUCAAAGGCUUAACCUUUGAAUGUCAGUGGAUACUGCCGGGCUAGAGUCCGGAAGAGGCGAGUGGAAUUCCUGGUGUAGCGGUGAAAUGCGCAGAUAUCAGGAAGAACACCCGUGGCGAAAGCGGCUCUCUGGAACGGUACUGACGCUGAGACGCGAAAGCGUGGGGAGCGAACAGG